rnacentral:rRNA from 1 species
GGAGAAAGAGGGCCUCUCUUUGAUGCUUUCGCUAUUAGAUGAGCCUGCGUAAGAUUAGCUUGUUGGUGAGGUAAAGGCUCACCAAGGCAACGAUCUUUAGCGGGUCUGAGAGGACGAUCCGCCACAUUGGGACUGAGACACGGCCCAGACUCCUACGGGAGGCAGCAGUGGGGAAUAUUGGACAAUGGGCGCAAGCCUGAUCCAGCCAUACCGCGUGUGUGAAGAAGGCCCUAGGGUUGUAAAGCACUUUAAGUUGGGAAGAAAAGUUAUUGGUUAAUACCCAAUAACCCUGACAUUACCUUCAGAAUAAGGACCGGCUAAUUCCGUGCCAGCAGCCGCGGUAAUACGGAAGGUCCAAGCGUUAAUCGGAAUUACUGGGCGUAAAGCGCGCGUAGGUGGUUUAUUAAGUUGGAUGUGAAAUCCCCGGGCUCAACCUGGGAACUGCAUCCAAAACUGAUUCACUUGAGUACGAUAGAGGGAGGUAGAAUUCACAGUGUAGCGGUGGAAUGCGUAGAUAUUGUGAAGAAUACCAAUGGCGAAGGCAGCCUCCUGGAUCUGUACUGACACUAAGGUGCGAAAGCGUGGGUAGCGAACAGGAUUAGAUACCCUGGUAGUCCACGCCGUAAACGAUGUCAACUAGCUGUUGGAAAACAAUGUUUUUCAGUGGCGCAGCUAACGUAAUAAGUUGACCGCCUGGGGAGUACGGCCGCAAGGCUAAAACUCAAAUGAAUUGACGGGGACCCGCACAAGCGGUGGAGCAUGUGGUUUAAUUCGAUGCAACGCGAAAAACCUUACCUAUACUUGACAUACUUGGAAUGCUUUGUAAUGAAGCAGUGCCCUCGGG